AUGUGCUGCUUCUAAUCG
rnacentral:rRNA from 1 species